rnacentral:pre_miRNA from 12 species
UGGAGCCUUGACCUUGAGAUAUCCUCACCAUCUUACUGGGCAGCAUUGGAUGAUUUCUGCGUUUCUAAUACUGCCUGGUAAUGAUGAUGAUGGUGUUUCCUGCACUCCGUGGAAA